CUGCAUUGUUAAGUGACCCACUGGCUCUCCCUGUGGUCUGCUGGGCCUCAUCACAAUGCAAGAGGAAUUCCCCUCCUUUCAGAAGGGCCAGCCUGCCUCGUAGACUGCCCCUCAUGGUCUAGGGGUACAUCU